CGUUCGUUCGCUUCUGUCCCGCGAAAAACGUUGUGCGCGUGUGUGUGCGUGCUCUCUUCUAGUUGCUCCGCGUUGUUUUGUUCUACGGGCCAGCUAGGCUAGUCGUUCGAUCUAUCUAGGCUCCAACUCUCGCAGAGCGUGCGAGGGCAUGUGUGCUCAAUUCUUAGUGCUAUUCCAUAUGUGCAACUAUUUACCGUAAAAUAAAAUCAAGUGGAAAAGACACGCGAGAAAAGUGAAACAAGAAAACAAAAGUGCAGCAAUUGCUGACGCUCUCUGGCAUGCACUCGCUUUAAUUUUGUGCUUCCUGUGGAAUUAACGGAGAGCAAAGGCAAAGCGUAAUACAGAAACGAGAGCGACAUCAACAAGUGGAGGCAGGCCAGACCAGACGCAACUUUCUUCAGCCAAAAGCCGGCUGAGCGGGAGCCAGCCAUCCAUCAAAAGCGGGCGUAGAAGAAGAAAAACGUGCAAAGAGGAAGCUGAGAUCAGGAGAGGAGAUCAUACUGCGCGCUCUUCUUGUUUUGACUCUGGAAUUUCUUCAAAAUGGCUUCGUUUGCUCCAUUGAUCAUCGUUUCCGUGGCGGCUGUUGUUUCUGCAAGCCGCCUGGAGGAUGCGUUUCUGUUUUGAUAGGCUGUGCUUCGCAACCAAGCGGCCAGCCACAAACAACAAUCGCCAAAGCAGCAGCCACAGCACAAAUGAACCACAGUGCACCAGCACCUGCACCACCGCCGAGAGCCAUAGCCACAGCCAUAGCCAUAGCCCACCUAGCACCACCACAGAUGCAGCAG